UACAGUCGAACCUCUAUUAAGCGGUCACCCUCGGGACUUAGCUUAGUGACCGCUUAAUAGAGGUUGACCGCUUAAUAGAGGUUUCGCUAUUUUCGCCCCUAAAUUAGCGUAAAUCGGGCUGUAAUUAUACGUAAGAACUUUUUAUUAUAAUAAACAACAGUAACAAUCAUGUUAGCCCUAAGACGGGGCCUGGUGCAUUCCAAUUUGAUUCAGAAAUGUUUGAAACCGCCUAGUCAGUUUGUUUUUGCCUAUACGGCUCUUGUGGCUUUGCCCAAUUCUAUGGGCAUGAGCUACUUUCGCUGGCGUUAUGUAAAGUAAGUGAGUGCGUUAAGGUGAUGUUACACGCGUCGUUUCCGUCGAUAUCCGUCAUUAAGCGUUUGCGCGAUUUUGGAAGUCGAAUCAAAAACUCUCAGUGCGUUGCCGUACCCAAAAACUCACAAAUCUGACCCAGUUGCAUUCAUUCGGGGAUACCAUGACUACAUGACUGAGUGGGAACCAGCACUAGAAGAUGUUUACAAACUUAUGCGGGAACCAACUAACAUAAAGGAUCCGAAUGCUGUUGCAAUCGUAAGAGAAAAAGCCGACAAAACGGUGAUGGAUGGAGACGGUCACCCGAAUACUCUAGUUGACGAUUACGAAGUUAUCAGGCAUAUUCCCAAACUGAUGUCAACGUGGGUUACCAAAUAUCUCAGGAGACCUACGAACUGUGAGAAAGUCGUAGUCAAAGGGAAUUGGGUGAACAGAGGUGGUGGCUAUGGACUCGAGAUUCUUUGUGAAUACAUAUUUGAAGGUGAUAGUUUUUUUUCUAGAGCUGGCUAAAGCGGAAAUUGGUAAUCGAGGAAUUUGUUGCGACUGAUCCGCACAAGACCUCACAAGACGAUUAGCCAUAGUAAUUAGAUUAGACAGUUAAAAAUAUGACGAAAUAUGACGUGCACUAUCUGUUGUCAUGCUGACAUAUAUUGAUGAUGACCGUUUAAUAGAGGUGAAAAACAAUGAAAUCAACCAAUUGGGACCCUCCUUUGGUGACCGCGUCCGCUUAAUAGAGGUCAAAUUUACAGUAAACAUAAGGGGGAAAAUUCGGGACUUUGAUAAAUGACCGUUGAAUAGAGGGUGACCGCUCAAUAGAGGGCCGCUUAAUAGAGGUCCGACUGUAAUUCAAAUAAGCCAGUAAAUUGUCAGCUUAGUGCGAGUUCAAA